rnacentral:rRNA from 1 species
AUUGAACGCUGGUGGCAUGCCUUACACAUGCAAGUCGAACGGUAGGGGGAGCAAUCCCCUGAGAGUGGCGAACGGGUGAGUAAAGCAUCGGAACGUGCCCAGUUGCGGGGGAUAACUACUCGAAAGAGUGGCUAAUACCGCAUACGACCUGAGGGUGAAAGCGGGGGACCGAAAGGCCUCGCGCAGUUGGAGCGGCCGAUGUCAGAUUAGCUAGUUGGGGGGGUAAAGGCCCACCAAGGCGACGAUCUGUAGCUGGUCUGAGAGGACGACCAGCCACACUGGGACUGAGACACGGCCCAGACUCCUACGGGAGGCAGCAGUGGGGAAUUUUGGACAAUGGGCGCAAGCCUGAUCCAGCCAUGCCGCGUGCAGGAAGAAGGCCUUCGUGUUGUAAACUGCUUUUGUCAGGGAAGAAAUCCCUUGGGUUAAUACCUCGGGGGGAUGACGGUACCUGAAGAAUAAGCACCGGCUAACUACGUGCCAGCCGCCGCCGUAA